rnacentral:rRNA from 1 species
UUUUACGAAAGUUUGAUGGAGCAAUACCACAGGAAAAAUGAAGGUCUUCUGAUUGUAAAGUUCUUUUAUUUAGGAAAAAAAGCGCGCUAGGAAAUGAGCGCGCCUUGAUGGUACUAAUUGAAUAAGUGACAGCUAACUAUGUGCCAGCAGCUGCGGUAAAACAUAGGUCACGAGCAUUAUCCGGAUUUAUUGGGCGUAAAGGAAGCGUAGGUGGGGAGGUUGAUCCAUUGUUAAAGGCAUUUGCUUAACAAAUGUGUGCGAUGGAGAUCGCCUCCCUAGAGUUAAUCAGGGGGUACUGGAAUUCAAUGUGUAGCGGUGGAAUGCGUAGAUAUAUUGAGGAACACCAGAGGCUAAGGCGAGUGCCUAGGAUAUAACUGACACUGAGGCUUGAAAGCGUGGGGAGCAAAUGGGAUUAGAUACCCCAGUAGUCCACGCCGUAAACGAUGGGCAUUAGGUAUUUGACAUCUAGUCGAGUGCUGUAGCUAACGCGUUAAAUGCCCCGCCUGGGUAGUAUAUAUGCAAAUAUGAAACUCAAAGAAAUUGACGGGGACCUGAACAAGUGGUGGAGCAUGUUGCUUAAUUCGAUAAUACACCAAAAACCUUACCAAAGCUUGCAAUCUAUGGCAAAA